AUGAACUUGGGAAGCAGCCUGUUUGUAUCAGAGAAAAACAAGAAUGCCAAAGAGAUGGAGACUGGUAACAAGACUCUGAGAGACAGUUUGAACCUGGAAGAAGAUGCUGCGUCCUAUUGUGAUCUCUUUUGGAAUUCUUUGGGAAGUCAAAGAAGUCUGAGAGCAGUGGCUGUUGUGUCUCCAGAUACUGUAAGUAUGAAAGAAAGUACUGGGGAGAGGGCAAGGUGUAGUUACCAAAGAAUCAGGCAGGAUGCCCUCCAAAUGGGACAGAGACUAGAACAAGGCAGAAAAAUUGAAGCAGGCACUCACUCUCAGCACUGGGCAAUGUAAGGUCAGCAUGUCUUAACGUUAGCCCUGGGUGUUUCUUCUGCCUCACCCUUGUCCAGCCCUGCCUUCAGGUAAGAAUGACCUCUAAUGAACACUCUGUUUGUUUGUUUGUUUGUUUUGGGCCACACCUGUGGCAUCCAGGAUUCCAGGGCCAGGAAUGGAACCUGUACCACAGCAGCAACCUGAGCCACAGUAGUGACAGAUGAUGCCAGAUCCUUAACCCGCUGCACCACCAGGGAACUCCUCUAAUGGACACUCUUAUCUCCUCAAAUUCACUUCUGUUGCUAUAUGCCUGCUUUUCGGUUCUGACCUGUAUAUUUUAUUAAUUUUACUUGAAGAGCUAUAAUUUUAACCAUAAUCCUGAUGAAAACACAAUCACAGAAAAAAGAUAUUUUCUAUUCUUCAUACCCAGGCAUUUAAUUUUUUACAAUGUUAACUCCAAAUUAGUGAGGACCUAUGUGCCUAAAGUUAGAGAUAUUUUACAUAUAUUAUGUUUAACAUGCACUAAGAAAUUCUUUAGUCUAUGCAUCUGUAGCCCACUUAGCAGAUGAGUCCCAGAGAGAGUAAAGGACUGGUCCCCAACCUGAAAGAAGACAGGGCCACUCCCACAAGAGUGCCACAUCUGCCCUCACUUCCCGUACUCACUUCAGGCCUUAAAAUCCCUGAUUUUCUUGUUUUAAUUCCCUUAAUCACUACAAAUUCUGCCUCUUCAUCUCCAAGUCAGGUUUUUCUUACUUGAUUAUAAGAUUUUACUAUUGCUUUGCUUUUGUGGUUUCUUCCUCUUUCCCAGCUUAAAAAAAAAAAAAAAAAUUCAUUGAGUUUCAGAGUAGAUCAGUAUGUCAAGUUUUCUCAAAACAUUCUUUAAAGUCAUUUUCUGACUUAAAUGUCUAGAGGGCAGAGCUAAAUGGGGCCACCAGGUAAGAAAGCAGGACGGCUCCACACACUUACAGAGGCUGAGGAAGGAGAAAUGGAAAGGAAAAAUCUUAUUAGGCUUUGUAGGUCA
rnacentral:lncRNA from 1 species